rnacentral:rRNA from 1 species
GACGAACGCUGGCGGCGUGCUUAACACAUGCAAGUCGAACGGAGUGGCGAACGGGUGAGUAACACGUGGGUGAACUGCCUUGCACUUCGGGAUAAGCUUGGGAAACUGGGUCUAAUACCGGAUAGUGCAUGAUGAGCUCGCGGCCUAUCAGCUUGUUUGUGGGGUAAUGGCCUACCCAGGCGUCGAUGGGUAGCCGGCCUGAGCGGGUGUACGGCCACAUUGGGACUGAGAGACGGCGCAGACGCCAACGGGAGGCAGCAGUGGGGAAUAUUGCACAAUCAGGGGAAGCGUGAUGCAGCGACGCCGCGUGGGGAAUGAAGGCUUUCGGGUUGUAAACUCCUUUCGACAGGGACGCGGUACCUGUAUAAGAAGCACCGGUUAACUACGUGCCAGCAGCCGCGGUAAUUC